UACGGAGGGUGCAAGCGUUAUCCGGAUUUACUGGGUUUAAAGGGUGCGUAGGUGGGUAGGUAAGUCAGUGGUGAAAUCUUCAAGCUUAACUUGGAAACUGCCAUUGAUACUAUUUAUCUUGAAUACUUUGGAGGUAAGCGGAAUAUGUCGUGUAGCGGUGAAAUGCUUAGAUAUGACAUAGAACACCAAUUGCGAAGGCAGCUUACUACACAGUAAUUGACACUGAGGCACGAAAGCGUGGGGAUCAAACAGG
rnacentral:rRNA from 1 species